UUAUUUUGCUAAUAUUUGUUUUUAGUAGCGAUCUGCUAAUUAAUUAUUGAUAUUUAAGUUGAUUGGUGACUUUUGCUGGUAUAAAAUCCUUAUAAACAUUGGUUAUUAUCCAAUUUAUGUCAUUAGUUAUCCGAUUGUUUUAUUCAUCGGUUUGUUCUUUUGCGAAAAAGUUUCAAUAAUUGUUCCAAUAUGAGUGAUUCGGAUGGACCAGCGAUUCCAAAUAGAAGAAAUGUUCUUUUAUUGCUAAAUGAUAAAAGUGAAUAUGUGAAAUUAAAUGUCGGUGGAUUUUUAUUCCAAACAACAGUCGUAACUCUCACCAAAUUCGACACGAUGUUCAAGGCCAUGUUUUCUGGUAGAAUGGAGGUCAUCAAGGAUUCUGAAGGUUGGAUUUUAAUAGAUAGAAAUGGUGAGCACUUCGGGACUAUUUUGAAAUAUCUUCGAGAUGGAUCAGUGUCAUUACCAAAGAAGAUGAAAGAUCUUAAGAAUUUACUGGCCGAAGCUCGAUACUAUUUAAUCGAAGGGUUGAUCGCUUCAUGUGAAUCAAGACUAGAGAGGUUAAAGGUGAUCCAUUUAUGCGAGUACGAAUGUUUUCAUCAGCGGAAAAAGAAGCAAAAUUUAUUGUAAACUCGAAGAGACCAAUUGUUAAACUCUCAACAAAUCGGCACAUGUAUGAACAUCCUUAUACAGAUACAUCAGAGCUGAAUCUACUUCGAAAUCGAGAGCUUUUUGCAGAGUUGUGUUUUAAAUUCAGCUCACGAAUUAGAUUCGUCCAAAAUGAAAAGACAACUGACCUGAUUUGUUGUUGGUCAUUUUAUCACAAUGGCGCGAAAAAUAAAGAUAUCGAUUGUGCUUCGACGGGUAAUUUUAUAACAGAUAAUGACAUGGCCACAAAAGUCGAUUUCCCGAAGGCUAAAAUAUAUAAAGAAGUGGCUAAUUUAUCGAUGCGAGUGGUUAAUACACAUUUAUCAGAUGAUGAUUGGAGUGAUGAUGAUGAAGAUAAUUCAAGUGAAGAUGAUGAGCCAGGUGAGAGUAUUGAUUAGAGAUACUCCGUUCCGAUUUAUAAAUCGAUCGAUUUUUGGCACAGGAAAAUCAAUACUACUGAUUUCUAGAAUUCAGAAUCGGUUUGCUUUGCAGUGCUAAUGAGGAUCUUGCAAGUUUCUCACGCUUUUUUUCUGACAUUUACAUGUAAUCUUAAUGGUGAUCUUCUAAUUAGAUGUUUUUAUUCAAGCUGACGAGGGCGGAUUUGUUUCCUAUUAAUCAUAUUAAAUAUUAUCAAUAAAUAUAUUAAAUCAUAUAAGUAUUGGUUAUUAUUCAGUUUACACCAUUAGCUUUUCAAUUGUUUUAUUCGUCGGUUUCUUCAUUUGUGAAAAAGUUUAUAAUUGUUCCAGUAUGAGUGAUUCGGAUGGAUCAGCGAUUCCAAAUAGAAGAAGUGUCGUUUUCAUGCAAAAUGAUCAAAGUGAAUAUGUAAAAUUAAAUGUCGGUGGAUUUUUAUUCCAAACAACGGUCGUAACUCUCACCAAAUUCGACACGAUGUUCAAGGCUAUGUUUUCUGGUAGAAUGGAGGUCAUCAAGGAUUCUGAAGGUUGGAUUUUAAUAGAUAGAAAUGGUGAUCACUUCGGAACUAUUUUGAAAUAUCUUCGAGAUGGAUCAGUGUCAUUGCCAAAGAAGAUCAAAGAUCUUAAAAAUUUACUGGCCGAAGCUCGAUACUAUUUGAUCGGAGGAUUGAUCGCUCCAUGCGAAGCGAGACUAGAGAGGUUAAAGGGUGAUCCAUUUAUGCGAGUACGAAUGUUUUUAUCGGAAGAAAAAGAAGCUGAAUUCAUCGCGCAUUCAAAGAGACCACUUGUUAAACUCUCAACAAAUCGAUCGGUUAGUGCAUAUCCUUAUGAAAGUUCAUCAGAAAUUAAUUUCCUUAAAAAUCGGGAAUUAUUUGGAAAGUUGUGCCUUAAAUGUAGCUCACGAAUCAUCUUCAUCCAAAAUGAAAAGACAACUGAUCUGGUUUGUUGUUGGUCAUUUUAUAACAACGGCGAGAAAGUUUCAGACAUUCAUUGUGCCUCGACGGGCCAUUCCAACAAUUCUGUAACUUUGACCACAAAAGUUAAUUUCCCGGAGGCGAAAGUAUUUGAAGAAGUGCUCAACUUAUCGAUGCAGGCAUUCAAAAUAUUAGAUGAUGAUUCAAGUGAAGAUGAGGAAUGAGAAAACUCUUGGUACAGUUCGAACACUAGGAAAUCGAAUCCCAAAAACAAUAAAUCAAAUCGAGACAAUUUUUGUGACUCUCUUCAUAAUUUAUGUCAUUUGAUUCAAUUUUUCAUAUACAGGUCGCUAGCAAAUUCAUUUGACUUUUUUUAACAUUAAUUUACUCUAAUCAAUCUACUUAUAAAAUUAUUAAUUAAGUAUUCAUUUUAUUCGAAAUUCAUUUAAAAAUUUAUAUCUAAAAUUUAUUUGUGAUUUGGUUCUUUCGUUUGGUCACAAUUCGAAUUAGAACAAAAAGGUAGAAUUCGAAUUGUUUUAAGCAAAUUUUUUUUUUGAUUCUUAAUAAAGUUCUUAUGGCUUAUAGCAAUUCGCUGAUUUUUGUUCAGAACAUAGAAAUCGGCAAAAAUUUUUGAAAAUUUUUUAUUUGAAAACUUUAUCUCAUUUAGUUUUCGAGAUAUAAUUAGUUUAAAUUUCACGAUUUUUCAAACUCGAAAAUCGAGCUCCGCCCUCAUGUUAAAUGAAUUUGCUAGCGACCUGUAAUUAAAUUCAAGAAAUCGAUUGUCCCUUUAAGAAUACAGAGAAUAAAUUUGAUUCAAUAAUAAAGUAAACUUCUUUAAUAAUAGUGAUUGAGAUCAGACUUGAUUUUCAUCAGAAUUGAAUCACUUCAACCUAUUCAAAGCAAUUUGAUUAACUUUGUUGUCCCAUCAAAGGAUUAACCAGCAAUCACAUCAUAGAUGGCACAAGUUAUACAUGUAUAAGAAAACAUAAUUGAAACUCAAUUUAAUCCAUGCGGUUAUGGUUUGAUUAUUUAGUUUUAACUGUGAACUUGAACUGUUCAAGUUGAACAUCAUUUGAACUUGUUUCUCGCAAUUAUUUCAACAUGGAGGUGACUUCUCAUGAUGAUGUAGAUGAAAAGAUGAAAAAUACUCAUGGUAAAUAUGUAAAAUUGAAUAUUGGUGGAUUUUUAUUCCAAACAACAAUUGCAACUCUCACCAGAACCGAUUGUAUGUUUAAGGCCAUGUUUUCCGGUAGAAUGGGAAUCGAGAAAGAUUCAGAAGGUUGGAUUUUGAUAGACAGGAAUGGUGAGCACUUCGGAACUAUUUUGAAAUAUCUUCGAGAUGGAUCAGUGUCAUUGCCAAAGAAGAUGAAAGAUCUUAAAAAUUUACUGGCCGAAGCUCGAUACUAUUUAAUCGAAGGAUUGAUCGCACCAUGUGAAUCAAGAUUAGAGAGAUCAAAGGGUUGUCCGUUUGGUCAAGUGAGAAUGUUUUCAUCACCGGAAAAACAAGCUGAAUUCAUUUUAUAUUCGAAGAUACCAAUUGUUAAGCUCUCAAUUAAUCGAGCGAUUAGCAAACACUCUUAUACAAAUUCAUCAGAACUACAUUUCCUUAAAAAUCGUGAAUUGUUCGCAAAAUUGUGCCUUAAAUGCAGCUCUCGAAUUAUCUUCAUUCAAGAUGAACAACCCAUCGACUUGGUUUGCUGUUGGUCAUUCUAUCACAACGGUGAAAAAGUGUCCGAUAUCAAUUGUGCCUCAACGACUGGAAAUUGCGAUUAUAACCAAUCGUUGGCUACAAAAGUUGAAUUCCCUGAUGUGAAAAUAUAUGAAGAGUUUUGAAUUUAUCGAUGCUCGCAAGUAACAUAUCAGAUGAUGAUUCGGAUGAUGAUUGGACCAGUGAUGAGGAAUAAUUGAUACUAAUAAAGUGCCUAAGAGGAAAAUAACAAUAUUGACGUCUAGUUAAGCCUUUAAAAUGAUUUGAUUUAUUUUUUGAUGCAAAACAAUGCAAUUGAUUGUAACUGUAAGAAUACAGAGGUUUCAGAGAAUAAAUUUGAUUCGAACAAUCAAU